GACAUGUUGUGAUCCCAACCCAUGUAGGAAUGGUGGAGAGUGUGAGGAGAGCUCCGAGAGUGCCGCUGGAUAUGCUUGUGCUUGUCUGGAGGGAUUCACGGGCCUCCGCUGUGACACCCCCGUUAACAUCAAUUGCCUUUCAUACGAAUGUCAGCGGGAAAAGGCGUGCUCCUUGGGGGAACAUACCUCUCCUGAGUGUGCAGCCUCAGUCUGGCAGUGUUCAGAUGGCACCACAGGCCCACAGUGCAGGAGGCAGCGCAGCCCUUCGCCCUGCCACAACAACGCCAGCUGUUUAGUCCAGGGAGAGGACUACGUCUGCAGGUGCCUGCCAGGGUUUUCCGGGAAGAGCUGUGAAGUGGUAAUAGACUACUGCAGUCUGCUCAGUGUCAACUGUCUGCACCAGGGACUGUGCCUCAGUGUAAUUGGUGGA